CUUAUUGGCAGCAUUGGGUUCAGAAAGGUGAAGUGGGUAGUGGGCCGGAAGCUGGACCGCGGUCCAGAACUCAGAGAAAUGUACCUUUCAGCAUUACUGGAAAAGCCAUUAAAGAAUUCUUGGUGAUUUUAGCAACUGUUUCUCUAUUUUUCUUACAAACAGUCUAGUUUCUAUAUUUCCUUUUUCAUUUCUUUAUUUAUAUCAGAACUUACUGUAACUUCUAUGUUUUCAGAUAAUGUAGAAAGAAAAUCGCAAUAUAUUAAUACACCAAAAUCGCAAUAUAUUAUUAGUGUAAUGAUCAAAUCAAUUUUCACUAGGCUUAUUUGUUGAAUUUGAACACGAAGUUUACUUAGGGGCCUUAUCAAACUCUUACAGAAAAAAACUAAAACACCAAGUUUACUUGGGGGGCUUAUCAAACUCUUUAAAGGAAAAUGAAAAAAUAUGGAGUAUAUAUCAAACAAGUUCACUUGGGGAUGAAUUUGACCUCGAAACUCUUGCCACUCACAACUUAAAAUACCAAUGUAUGUAUUAUGGCCAGGAUGAAUAUUUGAGAAGAUUACUGUUCCAAAGAUCCAUGAUUUCUCUACCAAAAGGUACUAUUCCUCAUCAGUUUUAUAAAGCAGAGCAGAAGACCAAAACAUUAAGUGAGCCAUAGCAAAAGAUACAUUAACAUAUAAAUAAUGCCAUCAUUUAUAGCUUUAUUCCACCCAUAAUCAAUUCAAUAUCAUAUGAUAGUUUGCUUUGACACAAUGUUGAGCCCAACAAUUACAGAAAAUAAUUUCACAUAAUGCCUAAAUCCCAAUUCUGAUCCAAAAAUUGAAAACCAGACCAAAUUUUAUAAAACCCAAUUGAGAAAUCGAAGAAAAAUAAAAAUGAGUAUUACGUUAAAUUCUUACCACUGCAAUAGUUGAAAGGUAAACCUAAACUCUCUCCGACGGUGAGCUGAGGAAUAAAAACCACCAAUGGAAUGCCACCAACUACGAAGUCGAAGAACCAAAUGCACAGAGGUGCAGGCAUGGUAGGUGAAAGUUUGGUUGCCGUAGAACUCAUCGGGCAUCAGGUGUUGUCUUUCCCGAUUCCGGCCACUAUACGCCGCUCCUUCACACGUAGCUUUGCGUUAAACUUUA
rnacentral:lncRNA from 1 species